rnacentral:rRNA from 1 species
AUUUUGGACAAUGGGGGAAACCCUGCUCCAGCCAUCCCGCGUGUAUGAUGAAGGCCUUCGGGUUGUAAAGUACUUUUGGCAGAGAAGAAAAGGUAUCUCCUAAUACGAGAUACUGCUGACGGUCUCUGCAGAAUAAGCACCGGCUAACUACGUGCCAGCAUCCGCGGUAAUACGGAGGGUGCAAGCGUUAAUCGGAAUUACUGGGCGUAAAGCGUGUGUAGGCGGGUCGGAGAGGAAGAUGGGAAAUCCCAGGGCUCAACCUUGGGACUGCAUUUUUAACUGCCGAGCUAGAGUAUGUCAGAGGGGGGUAGAAUUCCACGUGUAGCAGUGAAAUGCGUAAAUAUGUGGAGGAAUACCGAUGGCGAAGGCAGCCCCCUGGGAUAAUACUGACGCUCAGACACGAAAGCGUGGGGAGCAAACA